UACGGGGGGGGCAAGCGUUGUUCGGAAUUACUGGGCGUAAAGGGCUCGUAGGCGGCCAACUAAGUCGGAUGUGAAAUCCCCAGGCUUAACCUGGGAACUGCAUCCGAUACUGGAUGGCUUGAAUCCGGGAGAGGGAUGCAGAAUUCCGGGUGUAGCGGUGGAAUGCGUAGAGAUCCGGAAGAACACCGGUGGCGAAGGCGGUCUGCUGGGCAGUUGCUGACACUGAGGCGCGACAGCGUGGGGAGCAAACAGG
rnacentral:rRNA from 1 species